AAAACAAAUAAUAUGAUUAUUCAAAAUCUUUGAUGGGAAGUUUUCUCUUCUUAAACAAUUUAUUCAGUUUGGAUCAUAAUGUCUGAUAUUUGAAAUUUGAGAUGUUUGAAAUUUCUAAAGUAAUGUGAAAUGGAAGUAAUUUUUGUCUCGAAUCUAUAGAUCCCUCACUUUCAAUGUAGUGACUAGUAUUCUGGAAAACCAUCAGUACACAACAAUGGUGUGGGUAAGAAUGACGAAGCACAUAUUGAAGAAGAAGAAGCACAGAGCUGAUACAUUCUCGUAGCCGCCAGUCCCGCCACUAUAUUGUUCAUCGUCCCGUCAAAGUAAAAAUAUUUAACUUGUUGUUUAAUCAUUGUUUUUUUUGUUUUUUUCAUAAUAGGAGAGAGAGGAAUCUGUCUGUUUGCACAGGACAUGCAACUUUUGUACAAACCAGUCUACACACAUCGAUGUCAACCCAUAUCAUCUAAAUAACCGGUUUUUGUAGGCAUAUUCGGCCAGCAGACGAAAAAACGAAGCAGACGGAUCCCUCAAUCACAAUAAACGAAAGAGGUUGUAGAGUUGGAAAAAAACCCCGAUCAAAUGCUGGCAUUAGCUCCAAGUUUUCGCGAUAGACUUCCGAAAGAAAGAAAGGGAACUGGAACGUUUGAAAAAAAGCUCGCAAAUUGAAGCUCAUGAAGGAUUUGACAGCUGAACUCAAAGAAGUGCAAGAGUAAUUCAAGAAGACUAAACGGAGGUGUCCGGUAUGGAGGGCAACAUCAAAACUAUAGCAAAAGAAGAGAAUGAAGUGUAUGUGGGCCGUAUUGAAGGAGAUGAGGAAAGUUCUGAUUGCCGCCGAACAUCACAGCUCGUUAACAGCUCGAUGCCGAUCAGCUUGCUUCGUUACGGCUAAAAGUGGGCAAAAAGGAGCAAGCUGUUGCGGAAGCUGAAACGCAGAUUGCCAUUCUAAAGCAAGAGACUCAAUCAUCGCCUUGGUCCUCCUGAAUCGAGUCAGCAAACAGUCUUUGCCUGUUCCUGUUCCUGCUGUCGUCUCCAUUACGAGGUGGCUGGGUGUGUCAAAGAAGUCCGAAGAUCAUUUGCAGCAGCACUGUGAGAAUCAAAACUUGAAACAUCGCGUUUUCCCAUUUGGAGAAUCAACUGCGUGCCUUCCAGGUAGACAAACUGGAAAAGCUAUGCCUACAACAGCAACUGCAACAAUUUCAAAAGGAAUUGGCUGAAGCCAAAGAAGCUCGGGUUGACAGCCGAUUAAGUUUGAUGGAGGAUCCACAAAAUUGUAUACCGAAAUACCGUCCGAAAUCUGCAUAAGUCAAGUGUCCUUGUUUGGUCGAAGUAUAGUGGCAACAAGGUCCGAAUGUCUCGUCUUCCGGACUGAUCAAAGAGGAGUCAGGAGUCAGCUGAUGGCGAAACAGACGUCAUCGCUUCCAGUCAUCUUAUCAACACAGCUGUCACAAAAAAUACAACGCUAAAAUACUAGAGUGCUCGCACCACGGAUCGCUAAAAUGAGUCUGAUUUGAAUGUGACAUCCUGCAUCCAUCAUCCAUGAUCCAUGGCAUUCUUUGUCAGCCUUUUGUCUUUCACGUUUCGUUGCAAUGUUAUGUGAUUUUUAAGCUUUUUGUAGUAUUUCGAUUUCAGAAUAAAUAUCGGAAAUCUUCUCUUAAUUGUUAUCGUAGAUAUUUUGUUAGCAAUAUGAUGUAAAGGUGUAACUCAUGUAAUAAAAAGGUACCCAAAUCUCCCACCAGAUGCUGUCGAUUAAUUCAUCAACAUCAACAAUGCAAUGGCCGCUUCCAUUCACGUUGAAUGUUAUUGGUGUGUCUUGAAAAGGUUAUUUAUUUAUCUUCAUUUAUCUCCAUUUAUUUCCAUUGUGAAAAACUACGUGUAAAGUGUUUAGUUCAUUUAAAACGAGGAUUCAGACAAUCAGUUCAUCAUCGUCUGGUGUACAAUUCAUAUCUUAUAGUAAAUUGUCCAAACGCCGUUUGAUGUUGAACACAUUUCCGUGAACAGAUCACAUUUUUUAGGAAUGGAUAUUGUGCAAGUGAAACUGGGAAGAAACAUAAAUUGUACUGGCAACUCCUCCCUAGUAUGAAAUGGAUCAACGGGCCACAGUUAACAACAACAACAAAGGAAUCAUUACUUCCCGGAUAUCGCGAGUCAGCCACAGGUGUCACUCAAUCUCCAACGCAGUUUCUUUAUUGAAAUUGUGUGGCCCUGGCACAGAGAUCCUUGACCCAAUGCUAGCCUUUGUCUAUGACAGAAGAGUGACUUCCACCAACGUUCUGCCGCAUCCUCAUCUUCGCGACGUACGCUCAUUUAGCUUCGCUGCUACUCGUGAUUUUACUCUUACUACUCGUGCUACACAACUUUUUUCUACUUCAAUGACGAGUUAAACCACUUCAAUGGUCGCUUCCGUCCACCGUGACCCACCUGAAGUCACUCACCACGGGAUUAUGCCCAGGAGAAAACGUAUUGAAAGAGUCGUGCAGCUCACUGCUGUCGUUCAAAAUCAUUGUAUUCUACUGAAUGUUCCAUCAAAAUGAAACAGGAUUCAUCAUAAUUGUCUGCUGUUUGUAUUGGACUUGCUAGAUCGCCAAUCCCAGCCAUGCCCCGAUUUUGAGUGUUCUUCAUUACAGGUUUCUAACACAUUGGCAUGACAGAUUUGAUGAGAAGUCAUAUUUUGAAGAAAAAGAACAAGGACAAUACAGUCAACAAGGUUCCUUGUUUGCUAACCCGUUGGAUGCUACCCUUCAAUCUCCCUGUUUACUUCCUUACACAGGUCCUAUUGAUUUGAGGGUAACUCUUUCGCUACUGAUCACAUCAACUGUUGUAAACUGAUGAGAGAAUGCUGCAAUUCAAGACUGAUACAUUGUGUAGUUGUUAUAGAUAAAUGACAAGUGCAUAUCUGGGCUCCCUCCUUUUCUGUGGCCCCGUUUCCCUAACUAACCACUAACCA